UCCGAAGAAAGACUUAGUCCUAACCUUACUGUUAGUUGUUGCUAGGUAUAUACAUGCGAGUAUCCGCAUCCCAGUGAGAACGCCCACAGUCUCUCUAACCCAGGACAGUAGGAGCAGGCAUCAGGCUCACACCUUUUUUCCCCCGUAGCCCAAAACGUCAGGCAUUUGCCACGCCCCCCCGGGUAUACAGCAGUAGUUAGUAUUAAGCAAUGAGUGUAAACUUGACUUAGCCAUAGCAAAUCAGGGUUGGUAAAUCUUGUGCCAGCCACCGCGGUCAGACAAGAAACCCGAAUUAACCUUACUCUUUAAACGGCGUAAAGUGUGGUUACAUGUUAUCAAAGUACCUAAGAUUAAAAUGCAUCUGAGCUGUCGCAAGCCCAUGAUGCCCAUAAGGCCACCACCUAAAGAAGAUCUUAGACUAACGAUUAAUUGAAAUCCACGAAAGCCAGGGCCCAAACUGGGAUUAGAUACCCCACUAUGCCUGGCCCUAAAUAGUGAUGCUUUAUCUAACCUGAGCAUCCGCCCGAGAACUNCGAGCCCAAACGCUUAAAACUCUAAGGACUUGGCGGUGCCCCAAAUCCACCUAGAGGAGCCUGUUCUAUAAACGAUGAUCCACGAUAUACCCGACCAUUCCUUGCAAAACAGCCUAUAUACCGCCGUCGCCAGCCCACCCUAUUUGAAGGACCAGCAGUGGACGCAAUAGCCUUUACCCGCUAAAACGACAGGUCGAGGUAUAGCCUAUGGAGUGGAAGUAAUGGGCUACAUUUUCUAGUAUAGAUCAUCACGGCAAAGGGAUGUGAAACCAUCCCUGGAAGGAGGAUUUAGCAGUAAAGUGGGAUAAUAGAGCCCUCUUNNAGCNGNUUGUGGG
rnacentral:ncRNA from 1 species